GUCGGCGUAGCUCAGUGGUAGAGCAUUCGACUGCAGAUCGAGAGGUCACCGGUUCAAAUCCGGUCGCUGACU